rnacentral:rRNA from 2 species
UGAUGGAGAAAAGAGCAUCCUUUUAUUUUUAAAGACCUUUUUCGGAAGGUAUGCUUAAAGAGGGGCUUGCGUCACAUUAGUUAGUUGGCAGGGUAAAGGCCUACCAAGACUAUGAUGUGUAGCUGGACUGAGAGGUUGAACAGCCACAUUGGGACUGAGACACGGCCCAAACUCCUACGGGAGGCAGCAGUAGGGAAUUUUCGGCAAUGGAGGAAACUCUGACCGAGCAACGCCGCGUGAACGAUGAAGUAUUUCGGUAUGUAAAGUUCUUUUAUUGAAGAAGAAAAAAUAGUGGAAAAACUAUCUUGACGAUAUUCAAUGAAUAAGCCCCGGCAAACUAUGUGCCAGCAGCCGCGGUAAUACAUAGGGGGCGAGCGUUAUCCGGAAUUAUUGGGCGUAAAGGGUGCGUAGGCGGUUUAAUAAGUCUAUAGUUUAAUUUCAGUGCUUAACACUGUCCUGCUAUAGAAACUAUUAGACUAGAGUGAGAUAGAGGCAAGUGGAAUUCCAUGUGUAGCGGUAAAAUGCGUAAAUAUAUGGAGGAACACCAGAGGCGUAGGCGGCUUGCUGGGUCUUUACUGACGCUGAGGCACGAAAGCGUGGGGAGCAAACAGGAUUAGAUACCCUGGUAGUCCACGCCGUAAACGAUGAGUACUAAGUGUCGGGAUUACUCGGUACUGAAGUUAACACAUUAAGUACUCCGCCUGAGUAGUACGUACGCAAGUAUGAAACUUAAAGGAAUUGACGGGACUCCGCACAAGCGGUGGAUCAUGUUGUUUAAUUCGAAGAUACACGAAAAACCUUACCAGGUCUUGACAUACUCUGCAAAGCUAUAGCAAUAUAGUGGAGGUUAUCAGGGAUACAGGUGGUGCAUGGUUGUCGUCAGCUCGUGUCGUGAGAUGUUAGGUUAAGUCCUAAAACGAGCGCAACCCUUGUCAUUAGUUGCCAGCAUGUCAUGAUGGGCACUUUAAUGAGACUGCCAAUGAAAAAUUGGAGGAAGGUGAGGAUCACGUCAAAUCAUCAUGCCCCUUAUGAUCUGGGCUACAAACGUGAUACAAUGGCUGUUACAAAGAGUAGCUGAAACGCAAGUUUAUAGCCAAUCUCAUAAAAGCAGUCUCAGUUCGGAUUGAAGUCUGCAACUCGACUUCAUGAAGUUGGAAUCGCUAGUAAUCGCGAAUCAGCAUGUCGCGGUGAA